ACCAUCCUUGUCUUGGGGAGCAUAAUAUCCAGUGAACGGAUAGUGAGGAUAUUGAUGCUGACAACCCAAAUGAAGGUAUGAUCUGAUCAUAUCUCGAAAAUACCCCCGCUCUGGGUGUCCGCUUUCAAACAGUGGCCAUCUGGGCGGAAUUUUUGAAGCG